rnacentral:rRNA from 1 species
UAACACGUAGGGUGCGAGCGUUGUUCGGAAUUACUGGGCGUAAAGGGCGUGUAGGCGGAUAGGUCAGCCGGAGGUGAAAGCCCGGGGCUCAACCCCGGAGGGUCUUUCGGAACUGCCUGUCUAGAGAGAGUCAGGGGCCAGCGGAAUUCCUGGUGUAGAGGUGAAAUUCGUAGAGAUCAGGAGGAACACCGGCGGCGAAAGCGGCUGGCUGGGACUACUCUGACGCUGAGGCGCGAAAGCGUGGGGAGCAAACAGGAUUAGAUACCCUGGUAGUCCACGCCGUAAACGAUGGGCACUAAGCGUCCGGCGGGUUCGACCCUGCUGGGUGUUGCAGUUAACGCGUUAAGUGCCCCGCCUGGGGAGUACGGUCGCAAGACUA